rnacentral:misc_RNA from 1 species
AACGCACCUUGCGCCCCUUGGCAUUCCGAGGGGCACACCCGUUUGAGUGUCGUGAAAUUCUCGAAAACCUUUCUUUGGAAAGGAUUUUGGACUUGGAGGCCUUUUGCUGGUUUCACCUUGAAGCGAGCUCCUCCCAAAUGGAUUAGUGGGGUCUGCUUUGCUGAUCCUUGACGUGAUAAGAUGAUUUCUACGUCUUGGGUUUGGCACUGUCACUUGGGCACCCGCUUCUAACCGUCUUGUAGACAACGAUGGCGUUCCGGUCACCACCGUUUCAUCGGUGGGAGGCUUGACCCACCAAAAAACCUUGACCUCAAAUCGGGUGAGACUACCCGCUGAACUUAA